ensembl:lncRNA
GUGGAAGGAGAUGUACUUGGAGAUUAUCUCCUUUGGAGUGUUUGGUGAGCCUUAAUCCUUGGAAAGGGUCUCUAGGAGUUCGGUGGCUGAAAUGAGCAACCUGGCUCUGCAUUUCUCCUUCUGCAAGAACCAACUUGGAGGAGCAUCUGCAAGAACAGCUUUCUAUCACAAGAUGGGGAAAUUGUAGCAGAAAUGAGUGAAUCACAAAGGAGAAGCACAGGACUAGCAGGAGUAAUGAGAUCCUAGAGGCAUGUGAAGGUUUUCAGAAGUCAUCAGUGGACAAGGUGUGCAGAUGUGGCCCUGCUGGGGUAAGAAGUAUCUUGUCUGUGUGAAUGGCUUCCAAACUCCAUUUUCCACUGCCACAUCAAGUUGUGUCUCCAAUGCCUUCCUUGGUGGCUACUUCAUUUUCUACAGUCAACAACACAUCUUCCACUGGAUCUGUGACUCUGUAUCUACCUAUACGUUAAAAUAAAGAAUCUGACCUAGGGCAGAAGGGCAGAAAUGAUGGUUGGAAGGGAGGCAUCAGUGGUACACAAGGUACAGCAGAAAAGACUUGUUGAGCUGCAGAGGAACAGAAAAAGCCUUCCUUCCAAUUACCGGCCUCAGCAAAUGAUCCAGCUGGCACCCAGCAUCAAGCUUUGUCAUGGCACUUUUUACUCAGCAUUUCUCAGUUCAGCAUGGGUGUGAUGGAAGCGUCAAACAGUACCAUGACCUCGUCCUCCAGAAGACUGCUGGCUGGGUGUGUGGAUGUGCAUGGCCUGAAGAGCAGAAUCACCACAGUGAGGUGGGACCUAUAGGUGGAGAAGGUCUUGUGCCCUUCUUCGGAUGUUUGAUUUCUCAAGGCAGCCAGGGUGGUAAUGUAAGACACAACCAGGAUGAAGAGACGGCAUGGAGCUAUCACUCUGCUGUUGACAACAGUGAUGCUCAUGGUGCAGGUGCCAGCACAGGCCAGUUGUAGAAGGGGUUGGCCAUCACAGAAGUAGUGGUCAGCUUUGUUGGAACCACAGAAGGGGAACUGAGUGGUUAUAAGAGUCUGCAUGCUGGAGUGCACCAAGCCUCCUACCCGUGAACCGAUCACCACGCAGCCACACGCACUUCCAGUCAUGAGGGUGGUGCAGAGGGAAGAUCUGCAGUUGGCCAUGCAGCAACCACAAGCCAUCACUGUGAGGAUGAAGAUCUCCAUGCAAAGAAGUCUCAAACCUUUGUACCUCAAACAGCUGCGCUCUGCAGCCCACAGUGGCAUUAGUUUUAUUUUCAACAAGGAAGCUGGCAGUCAUUCUGGGAAAGGACAAACAGCAGGGGAAGAAAUACACGUGAAAAUUCAGAUGUUGACUGCUAAUCACAGUGAUAAUAGUAUUUCCUACCACAUUGGUUGCAUAGAAGAAAAGGAAAAUCACAGAGUAUGCUUUCUGCAUGAUUUGAUUCUCUGAGAGGCCCAUAGGAAUGGAUUCCUUUGCACUGCUUGCAUUCCCCAUGUUAAUCAGUUGGGUAGCCA